rnacentral:lncRNA from 1 species
UGGAGUCCUUCCUCGGUACGUAUGUACAUACAUAUAUAUGCACAACACUUACAAUUGUUUUCCAUCACAGAAUUUGGUGGAUGAUUCUUUAAUCAGAAUCUCAGUUCGUGUUAGUAAUUCACCUAAUCAACGUUUUCACGCAAAAUGUAGAAAUUAAAUUAAGAUUUGAUUGAUGUGGAACUGUAUUAAAAAAAUACUAAAAGCAAAACACUAUUGAAUUAUAUAUAAAUUUAGUUAAUUUUCAUUAUUACCGAUUUAAUUGUUAUUACAGUUAUGCUAAGGAUGAAUCCAUGAUGAAGUGGUUCGAGGUGCCGGGGUUUAACUUCAUUCACGCGAUAAACGCGUGGGAGGAGGAUGAGGGAAGAACAUUGGUGGUGGUGGCGCCGAAUAUUCUGUCG